rnacentral:misc_RNA from 1 species
GUAGGUGAACCUGCGGAAGGAUCAUUAACACGUUAUCCACGUAUCAACCAAACCGUGAACUUGAAUUCAAGUAUGUCAGUUACGCUGUCGAGAGGGAGUGAAGAAGGGAUUCUUCGCUCUGCUUUCCCCAGUGCUUAACUGCAUAGUUGUUACCAAUUACCAAAUCACCCCUGAUGUCUUUUUUCUCUUCUUGCAAAAGUUGAGAGAAAAACAUUGGUUUUCUCUGUAUUUCUUACUUGAAGCCAAGGCC